rnacentral:rRNA from 1 species
UACAGAGGGUGCAAGCGUUAAUCGGAAUUACUGGGCGUAAAGCGUGCGUAGACGGUUACGUAAGUCAGAUGUGAAAGCCCCGGGCUCAACCUGGGAAUUGCAUUUGAGACUGUGUAGCUAGGGUGCGGAAGAGGGAAGCGGAAUUUCCGGUGUAGCGGUGAAAUGCGUAGAUAUCGGAAGGAACACCAGUGGCGAAAGCGGCUUCCUGGUCCAGCACCGACGUUCAGGCACGAAAGCGUGGGGAGCAAACAGG